GUACUCUCACACUUCCGAUCUUUGGAUUGGGAGCGGUGGACUUGGGUGUUUACUGUGGCUCACCUCAAAUGGAUUAGUGCAACUCCUGGUUGGACAUAGUACGGCGUGAUAAGUGUCUUCGCCGGCACCUCGUAAUAGAGGGUGAUCGAUCGAGAGCUCUGUGCUUCAAACCGUCUUCGGACAAUGACUGACA
rnacentral:misc_RNA from 1 species